AUGGGGAAUAUUGGACAAUGGGCGAAAGCCUGAUCCAGCCAUGCCGCGUGUGUGAAGAAGGUCUUCGGAUUGUAAAGCACUUUAAGUUGGGAGGAAGGGCAGUAAGUUAAUACCUUGCUGUUUUGACGUUACCGACAGAAUAAGCACCGGCUAACUUCGUGCCAGCAGCCGCGGUAAUACGAAGGGUGCAAGCGUUAAUCGGAAUUACUGGGCGUAAAGCGCGCGUAGGUGGUUUUGUAAGUUGGAGGUGAAAUCCCCGGGCUCAACCUGGGAACUGCCUCCAAAACUGCAUGACUAGAGUACGGUAGAGGGUAGUGGAAUUUCCUGUGUAGCGGUGAAAUGCGUAGAUAUAGGAAGGAACACCAGUGGCGAAGGCGACUACCUGGACUGAUACUGACACUGAGGUGCGAAAGCGUGGGGAGCAAACAGGAUUAGAUACCCGUGUAGUCC
rnacentral:rRNA from 1 species